UAGGGAAUCUUCGGCAAUGGGGGGAACCCUGACCGAGCAACGCCGCGUGAGUGAAGAAGGUUUUCGGAUCGUAAAGCUCUGUUGUUAAGGAAGAACGAGUGUGAGAAUGGAAAGUUCAUACUGUGACGGUACUUAACCAGAAAGGGACGGCUAACUACGUGCCAGCAGCCGCGGUAAUACGUAGGUCCCGAGCGUUGUCCGGAUUAAUUGGGCGUAAAGCGAGCGCAGGCGGUUAGAUAAGUCUGAAGUUAAAGGCAGUGGCUCAACCAUUGUAGGCUUUGGAAACUGGUUAACUUGAGUGAAGAAGGGGGGAGUGGAAUUCCAGGUGUAGCGGUGAAUUGCGUAGAUAUAUGGAGGAACACCGGUGGCGAAAGCGGCUCUCUGGUCUGUAACUGACGCUGAGGCUCGAAAGCGUGGGGAGCGAACAGG
rnacentral:rRNA from 1 species